rnacentral:lncRNA from 1 species
AGUUGUUCGAGCUGUGUGGAUUCAAUGGGAUGGAAACGAACCGAACGCAGCUUCUCCAAGGCAGCACUUCGUCUUCAUCCUCCAUGGAAGCUCAAGCUUGAAGAUGACCAACUCCUUUUUCCUUUAUUUUGGUUGUUUCAUUUUUGUAUUUUGUUUUUGGACAGAGUAUUUUGUUUUUGGACCAGAUCAUUUUAUGAUCUGGUUGUUCCUUUUUUAGCUUCUAAUAAAUGGUCCCUGAGACC